UCGUCAAGGUAUUAUACUAGCGUUAUGCUCACUUAAAAGGCAAUAUUUUUUCUUUUAAAUAGGACGAGGCCUUUUUUCUUGACAUUCCAGAUGCCGCGCUACAAGCUUUAAACUUUGAACAAGAUGGAAGUCAAAACCACCCAAUAGUUUUCCUGAAAUUACAGAAGAAGACUCAUCAAGCGUUAUUCCUCAAGAAGAAAUGUUGAAGGUGAGCGCGCUUAAAGAGGCCAAGAAAUUUCCCUUUGAGGCAGCUGCAGUUGGAAGCAAGGGUAUUAAGCACAGCGAUUUUGAACAGCCCUGCGCGUCCAAAUCUCUUAUUGCACAAAACCAGCCGGCACUAAAAAAGGCCAAAAAGUCUACCUCUAAAACAGCAUUCGUUUUCAG